CCUAGAGUUGUAGGCUUUGCCUGCUAUCUCUUACCCAUGUCUUUUGAGUACCUUCGUUUCCCCUCGGCGGGUCCGCCCGCCGAUUGGACAAUUUAAACCAUUUGCAGUUUGCAAUCAGCGUCUGAAAAAACUUAAUAGUUA
rnacentral:misc_RNA from 1 species